UAUACUUAAAUAUAAACUGUGAUGUAUAAAGGUUUUUGAUACCUUAAGAGGUAGUUUAAGUCUACCAAGUAUAA
rnacentral:tRNA from 1 species